CAAAGGCUUCGGCCGGUAAAGGAUGGGGAUGCGUCUGAUUAGCUUGCCGGCGGGGUAACGGCCCACCGGGGCGACGAUCAGUAGGGGUUCUGAGAGGAAGGUCCCCCACAUUGGAACUGAGACACGGUCCAAACUCCUACGGGAGGCAGCAGUGAGGAAUAUUGGUCAAUGGGCGCGAGCCUGAGCCAGCCAAGUAGCGUGCAGGACGACGGCCCUAUGGGUUGUAAACUGCUUUUAUACGGGGAUAAAGUAUGCCACGUGUGGUUUAUUGCAGGUACCGUAUGAAUAAGGACCGGCUAAUUCCGUGCCAGCAGCCGCGGUAAUACGGAAGGUCCGGGCGUUAUCCGGAUUUAUUGGGUUUAAAGGGAGCGUAGGCCGGGUUUUAAGCGUGCCGUGAAAUGUCGGGGCUCAACCUUGACACUGCGGCGCGAACUGGAGUCCUUGAGUGCGCGGAACGUAUGCGGAAUUCGUGGUGUAGCGGUGAAAUGCUUAGAUAUCACGAAGAACCCCGAUUGCGAAGGCAGCAUACGGCAGCGCUACUGACGCUGAAGCUCGAAGGCGCGGGUAUCGAACAGGAUUAGAUACCCUGGUAGUCCGCGCGGUAAACGAUGGAUGCCCGCUGUUGGCGAUAUAUUGUCA
rnacentral:rRNA from 1 species